GUGACACAGGAGGUGACACAGGAGGUGACACAGGAGGUGACACAGGAGGUGACAGGAGGUGACAGGAGGUGACACAGGAGGUGACACAGGAGGUGACACAGGAGGUGACACAGGAGGUGACAGGAGGUGACAGGAGGUGACAGGAGGUGACACAGGAGGUGACACAGGAGGUGACAGGAGGUGACACAGGAGGUGACACAGGAGGUGACACAGGAGGUGACAGGAGGUGACAGGAGGUGACAGGAGGUGACACAGGAGGUGACAGGAGGUGACACAGGAGGUGACACAGGAGGUGACACAGGAGGUGACAGGAGGUGACACAGGAGGUGACAGGAGGUGACACAGGAGGUGACACAGGAGGUGACAGGAGGUGACACAGGAGGUGACACAGGAGGUGACACAGGAGGUGACAGGAGGUGACAGGAGGUGACACAGGAGGUGACAGGAGGUGACAGGAGGUGACACAGGAGGUGACAGGAGGUGACACAGGAGGUGACACAGGAGGUGACACAGGAGGUGACAGGAGGUGACAGGAGGUGACACAGGAGGUGACAGGAGGUGACACAGGAGGUGACACAGGAGGUGACAGGAGGUGACACAGGAGGUGACACAGGAGGUGACACAGGAGGUGACACAGGAGGUGACAGGAGGUGACAGGAGGUGACACAGGAGGUGACACAGGAGGUGACACAGGAGGUGACACAGGAGGUGACACAGGAGGUGACAGGAGGUGACACAGGAGGUGACACAGGAGGUGACAGGAGGUGACACAGGAGGUGACAGGAGGUGACACAGGAGGUGACACAGGAGGUGACAGGAGGUGACACAGGAGGUGACAGGAGGUGACAGGAGGUGACACAGGAGGUGACACAGGAGGUGACAGGAGGUGACACAGGAGGUGACACAGGAGGUGACACAGGAGGUGACACAGGAGGUGACAGGAGGUGACAGGAGGUGACACAGGAGGUGACAGGAGGUGACAGGAGGUGACACAGGAGGUGACACAGGAGGUGACAGGAGGUGACACAGGAGGUGACACAGGAGGUGACACAGGAGGUGACACAGGAGGUGACAGGAGGUGACACAGGAGGUGACACAGGAGGUGACAGGAGGUGACAGGAGGUGACACAGGAGGUGACACAGGAGGUGACAGGAGGUGACAGGAGGUGACACAGGAGGUGACACAGGAGGUGACACAGGAGGUGACACAGGAGGUGACAGGAGGUGACACAGGAGGUGACACAGGAGGUGACAGGAGGUGACACAGGAGGUGACACAGGAGGUGACACAGGAGGUGACAGGAGGUGACACAGGAGGUGACAGGAGGUGACACAGGAGGUGACACAGGAGGUGACACAGGAGGUGACACAGGAGGUGACAGGAGGUGACACAGGAGGUGACACAGGAGGUGACACAGGAGGUGACAGGAGGUGACACAGGAGGUGACAGGAGGUGACACAGGAGGUGACACAGGAGGUGACACAGGAGGUGACA